GGACAAGUUGUAUUUAAGAGAUUCCUCUUCACCCACACCGGUGGUUCAUAUAACGUGAUGUGUAUUUAUUGUGGCACACUCCAUACAAACUCCGGCCAGUGUUUGCAUCACAAGAAUAUGACUUACUCACAUUUUGUUCUGUACUAGAACUUCUGUCAUUAUUCUGGAUUGCAUUGGAACAUACCAGUGGGAGAUCACUAUAAACUGGCCAGAAAUUUUGGCUGUGGCUGCCAUUAUUGAAUGUUUUAAGUGCUUAUAACACUAAGUAUUCAUUUCUGUCUCCUACAAGAGCCUUUAGCUAAUGAUGAGGUCCUGUGUGAUGACCAGAUUACCCUAUGCCAGCCUGCCACACUACGUACUUACUUUUUGUAAGCUCAGUUUUUAAAGGAACGCACCAGGUUGUAUUAAGCACAGAAGUCGUAAUGUAUUAUAAAGAUAAAAAAUGCACUUAAAAAUAAUAUAAAGAAGAAAAAAAGAACAAUACUUUUCUAUGUAUUCUCCCUUUUGAAGUUUUUCCCAUACAUAAUACCCUCUUCCAGUAACUGGCUUCUGACAUUUGGUUAAACCAGGAACUGGCUGAGCAGACUAAGCAGCAAAACUCCCCCUGCUGGUUCAGUGUGUCAUAGAGCAUAUUUGUUACAAAUGCCAAUCAGACCUCCUCUACCACCAUGCCCCAAUAUCAGUACCAACUGGAAAAAGCAUCCAGUUCUAUUUGGUGGUUAAGAUGAACAAUGCUUACUCAGUUCUUUGUAGAACCAUGGUAUUACAUGCAUGUCUUGUAUAUCGAACACAGUACAGACUGUCUCAGUCAGGUUAGAUUUAUUCCAUGAACAGUCACAGUUGGGUUGCAUUUCACCCAUCGUAUAGUACUUGGUUAUAGUCAGGCUGUAAAUCACACAUUCUACAGCACUUGGUCAUGGGCAGACUGUGUUCUAUAAAUACAGUCUGCCUAUGACCAACAUUUACUUUACAUGUCUGCAACAUAAUAUAUAGGAAUGGUAUAAAGUAAUAAGUAGCAAGUGCUGUGUAUAGUCAGUUUUUGAUUGUAACUACUACUUGUUUACUUGAAG